rnacentral:misc_RNA from 1 species
UUUCCGUAGGUGAACCUGCGGAAGGAUCAUUAUUGAAUCAGGAGGCUGGGGCAACCCAGUUCUCUAUUUCCACACACCCUUUGUGAACAGUUCCUGUUGGCUUAACCGCCUUCAGUGUCUUUUGAAAAUCUCUUAACAGUCUUUGUAUGUGUAAAUUAUAUAAAUUAAGGAAAACUUUCAACAACGGAUCUCUUGGCUCUCGCAUCGAUGAAGAACGCAGC